rnacentral:rRNA from 1 species
AUUGAACGCUGGCGGCAGGCCUAACACAUGCAAGUCGAACGAGUGGCGGACGGGUGAGUAAUGUCUGGGAAACUGCCUGAUGGAGGGGGAUAACUACUGGAAACGGUAGCUAAUACCGCAUAGCAUCCGCUGUGCCCCGAUGGGAUUAGCUAGUAGGUGGGGUAAAGGCUCACCAAGGCGACGAUCCAUAGCUGGUCUGCGAGGAUGAACAGCCACACUGGAGCUGAGACACGGUCCAGACUCCUACGGGAGGCAGCAGUGGGGAAUAUGGCACAAUGGGCGCAAGCCUGAUGCAGCCAUGCCGCGUGUAUGAAGAAGGCCUUCGGGUUGUAAAGUACUUUCAGCGGGGAGGCGUUACCCGCAGAAGAAGCACCGGCUAACUCCGUGCCAGCAGCCGCGGUAAUUC